rnacentral:lncRNA from 1 species
AUAAGAUAACCGAUAACCUAAAAAUUUAGUAAAAAUUUUGAUUGGAAAAAAAUGCAUCGAUAAGGGGGUGUGGGAAAUGGAAAUUAGUGGCUUUUCUGCUGUACUGUCUGCUAGUCAAAUCACACAACACUUUUUUCUAUGCUGCUAGUUUUUGCUCUGGGCUCUGGCUGGAUCUCUUGUUUAAACAAUUUUAAUCAGCUGAAAGUGGCCUACAAAAAAAAAACCAAGAAGGAAAUGUAUAGCCUUGUGGCUAUGAAAGGCAAAAGAGAGAUAUAAAAAGUGUAUUGGCUAGUUGGAAGAAAGUCCACAUUGUCCAUGCAUAAUAAGUUAUUACUUUAUCAACAAAUAUCAAGAAGAUAGCAGGGUCACGAGCAACAACUUCAUAAGUUCAAGAAUAUCGAGGAAAUCCAGCUCCUCGAUACUACUGGGCAAACUAGAAGAUUGAUGAGGACAAAGCCUUUUGAACUAGUUUGAGUGAUAGGUGAUAGUGAAAAACGGAGCAUAGUGCUUGUGUGCUGUGCCUGUGUAUGUUAGAAUAGUGCACGAUCUUGUUAGAUUAGAUAAGAGACGCUAUGGGGUAAGCUCUUCAUUUUAAGAAACAGUAGUAAUUUAGGUUAAAUUAAAAUUGCUCAUUGGUCAGUUAUGACCAGAUUGUUUUUUUAUGUUUGGCAAAAAGGACUUAAGUCAGAAUUGCACAUUGAUAAUGUUUUGAUGAUUUCUGGACCAGAAAAAAACUGUUGUAGAUGUAAACUAUAUGUACAGUAGAAUCUACUACAGUACUGUAGAAAUCAUCAAAACAUUAUCGAUGUGCAAUUCUGACUUAAGCCCUUUUUCCCAAACAUCAGAGAAUUGUAAUGUACAAUAAUUCUCCUAUCUGCUUUUUCAUGAAUUUUGUAGGAGAUGAAAAACCAUUUUUAGGAUCAUCUGCUUUCACAUGUAAAUUUUGACAUGUUUUGUAGUAAAUAGAUAGUUGAAUUUACUACAAAACAUGUCAAAAAAUAUAUGAAAACAGGAGGUGACUAUAAAAAAAGUUUUUAGUCUCUCUUACAAAACUCAUGAAAAAACAAAUCGGAGGUAUGUCACAUCAGUGACUAUAUCCAGGGAAUGUCUAAAAAAUAUACUUUGAUGUCCCAAGAACCAAAUAUAACCUACAGUCCAUCUAAUUUACUUACUGUUGCAGGUCAUUAUCUACGCCAGAGAUCUAAGUUGACAUAGUUGCCAAAGUAUAAAAAGAUCCUGAAUCCAUUUUAAAUCAAAUAUAUCACAUAAUUAUUGUAAACGUGGAUUAUACAACAAAACAAAUUAAUAUUCAAUGUAAAUAAGUAAAAACUUAAGAAAUAGAGAACAAGAAUUAAGUUAUAAUCUUUUAAGAUUUGCAGUGCAAGAGUUUUUGCACUGCAUUGUUAAUAAUUAAAAAACGGCUCCGAACUCUUGGCAAAAAGCUGGUAGGUUUCUUUGUAUAAGUUUGUCUACAAUAACAACUAAAAAAGUUGUCAGAUACCUCGAUUAUUCCAAGUCGUUAUAAAAUUAGGUGAAAUUUAUAUUUUUAUAGUAGAGGAUCUUUUUAUAGUAAAGUAAAUAAUAAAAACAGUAAAUAUAAUAAAUAAAACAGAUACUUAUAGUAAAGAAUAUAAACAAAUAUGAAGUGUCAUCACCGUAACUGUCAAAUAAAUGUUACCAAUUUAUUCUAAAAUGUCACCUUCAUUCGAUUACAGUUACAGUGUGAUCCGAACAAAUCUGCUUCAUAAAAACGCUUUAUAAUCCAUUUAUACAAAUUAAAUGAAACAUAUUAUUGUGUAUUUCUUUAGGUUAACAUUAAUAGAAAUCUUCAAAUAUUAUUUCUACGCGUAUAUAAUAAAAUAUGUCUAGUGGCUGUAAUUCCAUUGUACUCGGCAAAGUGAUUCUAAAAAAGAACACACCUACCGCCUAAAUAUUUCAGUUAAAAUAAAUAACAGUUAGUAAAUUAGACGAAGUAUGUAGAUAUAUACAGGGUGUAACAAAAAUACAGGUCAUAAAUUUAAUCACAUAUUCUGGGACCAAAAAUAGUUUGAUUGGACCUAACUUACCUUAGUACAAAUGUGCACACAAGAAAAGUUACAGCCCUUUGAAGUUAUAUAUAUAUAUAAUAGCACUAAGGGCCUUAGAGGCCCAUGGCUUGAAAAGUUUGUUUUUUUCUUCAUUUUCACGUUUCUUUAUGUACUGAGAUCUCUGGCUUGAUAUGUGAUUUUUCUCCAUUCCUUCCUGUUAUUCAUUUUUCUUUUCUGACCCUGUAGCACCAUUCUUUCCAAAUCUUUUUCGACCUCUUGCUUCCAUCUAUUUUUCGGCCUUCCUCUUCUCUUUCUUGAAGCUGUAGUGUAGUUUAGUACCAUUUUUGGAGUCCUCGUGUUUGGCAUCCUUUCAAUGUGACCUCGCCAUCUAAGUCUCUGUGCCUUUAUCACUCAUUUGAAGUUACAAGAUGAAGUGAUUUUUUCCAAUAUAUCGAAAACUAUUAGAGAUUUUUUAUUGAAAAUGGACAUGUGGCAUUAUUAUGGCAGCAGUAUCUUACGAAAAAACUAUAGUAAAAUUUGGACACCCCAUAAAAAUAUUUUGGGGGUUUUGUUCCUUUAAACCCCCCCAAACUUUUGUGUACGUUUCAAUUUAAUUAUUAUUGUAGUACCAUUUAAACACAACGUUUUAAAAACUUUUUUGCCUCUUAUUGCUUUUUCGAAAAGUCAAUUUUUAUCGAAAUAUUUUGAAUAUUUGUCAAAUCCACCACAUAUUUGUAUAUGGUUAAGUACGAUUAUGGAGACUUGGUAAUAAUAUGCAGACUUAUUUAUGCUUUACAUUUUUAGGUAUAUUUUGAACCAUAUUAAAAAAGAAGCCAGAUCUCGAUAAAAUGUGCCUUAUCGAAAAAAUACAAAGAGGCAAAAAAGUUUUAAAAACAUUCUGUUUAACUAAUGGUACCUCAGUAAUAGUUUAAUUGGAACGUACACAAACAUUUGGGGGGGUUUAAAGGAACAAAACCCCCAUAAAAUUUUUAUGUAGACAUGUUAAAAAAGAAGUCGCAACUCGAUAAAAACUGCCUUAUCUGAAAAAUACUAAGAAACAAAAAUAUUGAAUUUAACUAAUGGUACCACAAUAAUAAAAUUGAAUUGGAACGUACACAAAAGUUUGGAGGAUCUAAGGGAUCAAGACCCCCAUAAAAUUUUUAUGCGGUGCACAAAUUUCACCAUAAUUUUUCUUUAAGAUAUUCCUGCCAUAAUACUGCCACAUGUCCAUUUUCAAUACAAAAUCGCUAAUAGUUUUCGAUAUAAUCGAAAAAAUCGAUUUUCAUUUUGUAAUUUCAAAGGGCUGUAACUUUUUUUAUGUGCAUAUUUGUACUAAGGUAAGUUAGGUUCAUUCGAACUAUUUUUGGUCCCAGAAUAUGUGAUUUAAUUUAUGACGUGUAUUUUGUUACACCCUGUAUAUACAACCGAUUACGCACCACCUUAAAAAUUGGGCAUAUUUGAUGUCUCGAAUUUCCUAAACCUGUUGUUGCAUCUAAGUGAUUUUUUUAUAAUAUUCUAGCCUAGGCCCUAGGCUAUAGGUUAAGUACCUCCUUAUGCUUGUCAUGCACAGGGAGCUAUACUGUAAUAUAUAUUAUAUCACAUCGCACUCUAUAGUAAUGAGUGAGCCUGCACAUACGGAACCAUUUGUUUCCUGUCUGCAGGCUCACUCAUUACUAUAGAGAGCGAUAUGAUAUAAUGUACAUAUAUUACAGCAUAGCUCCCUGUGCAUGACAAGCUUAACGAGGUAACCUUAACGAGGUAACCAUCACUUAGAUGAAACAACAGGUUUAGGAAAUACGAGACAUCAAAAAUACCCCAUAUUUAAGGUGGUGCGUUAAUUUCUUGGAGAAGUGUAUUGUAAUUUAAUGUAAAUAAUGUAAUAUCCAAUAAUUGUAAUUUAAUAUAAGAUGUAAUAUAAGUUCCUUAAAAAAUAUAUUUUUUAUUUCCCACGACAUUAGAUGGAUGUUCGGCAGCAAGACAUUGGACCAAACUGGGACGUCCUAUGAAGGCCAAUUGACGUCCACUGAACGUCCCUUCGGAUGUUAAGUGGACCUCCAUUGGGCGUUUGGCAACGUGGCAUUUGGACCAAAAUUGGACGUCCUGUUAAGGUCCAAUUCACGUCCCCUAGAACAUCCGGUUAAGGUCCAAUUUACUUCCGAUUAAGGUCCAAUUUACGUCCGAUUAAGGUCCCAUUUACGUCCGAUUAAGGUCCAAUUUACGUCCUAUUAAGGUCCAAUUUACGUCCGAUAAGGUCCAAUUUACGUCCGAUUAAGGUCCAAUUUACGUCCGAUUAAGGUCCCAUUUACGUCCGAUUAAGGUCCAAUUUACGUCCUAUUAAGGUCCAAUUUACGUCCGGUUAAGGUCCAAUUUACGUCCGAUUAAGGUCCCAUUUACGUCCCAUUAAGGUCCAAUUUACGUCCUAUUAAGGUCCAAUUUACGUCCGAUUAAGGUCCAAUUUACGUCCGAUUAAGGUCCAAUUUAUGUCCGAUUAAGGUCCAAUUUACGUCCGAUUAAGGUCCAAUUUACGUCCCCUAGGACGUCCGAUCAAGGUCCAAAUUACGUCCGAUUAAGGUCCAAUAUACGUCCCCUCGGACCUUAGAUGGACGUCCAAUGGACGUUCGGUAGCGCGACAUUUGGACCAAAAUAGGACGUAUAAAGGACGUUCCUCGGACGAAAACGGACGUCCAAUGGACGUCCCUGAAGUCCGUGAAGGACGUCCAAUGGACGUCCAUUGGACGUCCUUGUGCUGUUAGGGU